rnacentral:tRNA from 1 species
GGUCUGUGGCUCAGUGGUAGAGUGCUUGACUAGCACAUGUGAGGCCCUGGGUUCUAUCCCCAGCACCA